UAGGGAAUCUUCGGCAAUGGACGAAAGUCUGACCGAGCAACGCAGCGUGAGUGAAGAAGGUUUUCGGAUCGUAAAACUCUGUUGUUAGAGAAGAACAAGGACGUUAGUAACUGAACGUCCCCUGACGGUAUCUAACCAGAAAGCCACGGCUAACUACGUGCCAGCAGCAGCGGUAAUACGUAGGUGGCAAGCGUUGUCCGGAUUUAUUGGGCGUAAAGCGAGCGCAGGCGGUUUCUUAAGUCUGAUGUGAAAGCCCCCGGCUCAACCGGGGAGGGUCAUUGGCAACUGGGAGCCUUGAGUGCAGAAGAUGAGAGUGGAAUUCCAUGUGUAGCGGUGAUAUGCGUAGCUAUAUGGAGGAACACCAGUGGCGAAGGCGGCUCUCUGGUCUGUAACUGACGCUGAGGCUCGAAAGCGUGGGGAGCAAACAGG
rnacentral:rRNA from 1 species